GCUAGUUGUAUUAUUAGUUAAUGCAAGAUCGACUACGUCGACUAAAGUUCUAGGUAGAAUAAUGAUGAUGACAAUUUUUUACCUAUAUGUCUUGACCAAGUCUCGUGCCAGCAGUCGCGGUAAUACGUGGAAGACUAGUGUUAUUCAUCUUUAUUAGGUUUAAAGGGUACUUAGACGGUAUUUCUAGCCCAAAAUAGGGUACGGAUUUACUAGAGUUUUAUGUGAGGAGGGGAGUACUCGUAGAGUAGAGAUGAAAUUUUGUUAUACUAUGAGGUAACUGGUGGCGGCGAAAGCAACCUUCUAUGUAUAAACUGACGUUGAGGGACGAAGGCUUGGGUAGCAAAUAGGAUUAGAUACCCUAGUAGUCCAAGCAGACAAUUCUGAAUGCCAUAGAUUAGAUUAUUUUUGGUCUAUAAAUGAAAGUGUAAGCAUUCCACCUUAGGAGUAAUGUGGCAACACAGGAACUGAAAUCAUUAGACCGUUUCUGAAACCAGUAGUGAAGUAUGUUAUUUAAAUUGAUGGUCCACAAAAAACCUUACCACAACUUGAAUAUUUUUU
rnacentral:rRNA from 1 species